rnacentral:rRNA from 1 species
UAAUACCGGAUAGAUCAAAGAUACUGGAAUGUUCCUUGAUCCAAAGCUCCGGCGUCCAAGGAUGGAUCUGCGGCCUAUCAGGUAGUAGUGGGUGUAACGUACCUACUAGCCUACGACGGGUACGGGUUGUGAGAGCAAGAGCCCGGAGAUGGAUUCUGAGACAUGAAUCCAGGCCCUACGGGGCGCAGCAGGCGCGAAAUCUUUACAAUGCAGGAAACUGCGAUAAGGGGACCCCGAGUGCCAGCAUCUAAUGCUGGCUGUCCAGCUGUGUAAAUAGCAGUUGUUAGCAAGGGCCGGGCAAGACCGGUGCCAGCCGCCGCGGUAACACCGGCGGCCCGAGUGGUAACCGAUUUUAUUGGGUUUAAAGGGUCCGUAGCCGGCUUACUAAGUCUCUUGGGAAAUCUGGCGGCUUAAUCGUCAGGCGUCC